UGGAGAUUCCUCGCUCGAUAUAUGGUGUUUCUUGGUAUACAUACGCGACGCAAUAAUUUGUUCGGUUGUUUUUCGUCCAGACACAGAUUAUACACGAACUUGUCAGUGAAUUAACAAUGAUAAAUGUAAUAAGUGACGAGAUUAUGGACUAUUUGUGGAUAAAAGUUAGGUUAGAUAUGCAUAAAAGUUUAUACUGAUUAGACAAAUAUAAUUAUUUCUAUAUUGCGAUUAUAUACAGUUUUGCAGAUAAUGAAAGGUAAAAUAUAAAUUGUGAGUUGAUAUUAUCUAUGAUAGCAGUAACCUGUCUUACUCACGGGUAGAUAAAUGAAUUUUUUAUAGCAUUUUUUGAAGACUAUGAAUGUGCUCAUGUUAGUGACAUUCAUUGGUCGUAUUUAUGUUAAAAUUCAUUUAUACUAAUAUCAUAUAUAUAAGUAUAUCAUAUAUAUUUUAGAAAUGGGAAGUGUGUUAUUUACAAACUUUUUGGCGCAAAUAGAUUCUUCAGAUUCGUAUUGCACGGCAUAUAAUAAAAAGAUUAUUACUAUUGCUUCUACUAUUCAUGAUUUAUUUUCACUUUACAUUGUUUCAAAAAAAUCUCAUUAAUUUGCAGAAGAAAUCAACUCGGUCAAUAGAUGAUCAUCAAUUCAUUUGAUUCAUCAAUAAUUUUAUAAUUUUUGAAUAUUGUAGUGUAAUUUAUUUUUGUUAUAAUUUUUUUAAAUAUGAUUGAAAAAAGACUUAUUAAAAAAGUAUGAAAUAGAAUUUUUUAUCUUAUCCAAUUUUCAAAAUUUUCUUUAAUUCAAUAUAGCUUACAUUUAACUUUUUUAAGGAUUAGGAAAAACAAUUACGUAUCUUUCAUAAAUUUAAAAGAAAAUUUUAUGUAAAAGUACGUUAAUACAUGAAAAUACAUAAAAAUACAUUGAAAAUUUAUGCAAUAAACAAACGAAGUAAUAUUUUACACAUGACCAUAUCUAUUUUUCCAAUCUUUUUAUAAAUCUAAAGUCAUAGACGAAUAUAACACACACGUACCAAGCUUCUCGUGUUUCCACGAUAACGAAACAAAGCCUACGAUAACGAAACAAGAAAUCAUGUCAAAGUAAACGCACGCAAAAUUACAGCUCCACAGGUUUAAUAACAAUUUCUUAUCCGAGAUCGACACUAGGUGGCCACACAGUCGAGACAAUAAACCUCUUUUACCAUAAACCUGUCAUUUGAACACGUAUUCGCGCAGCUGUAUCGCGAUGUAAUUAAUUUGCGUGAUUCAUGAUACACUCUAUAAAUGUAUGUAUGUAUAAUUUUAAAAUACAUGAGAUCUUACCGUAUCUUUUUCUUUUUUCUCUUCUUUUUUUUUUUUUUUAAGGAUGUCCUCUGUUGAAUGAUCGAAGGUACAUGUGACACACCUGUACCAGAUCGACUAACGAACGUCACGGUUUCCGGAAAUAACAAGCUUUUACAAUCGCCAGCUGUCCAUUAUAUUUCCACUCGGCGAUUCUUGCAUCGUUUUUCAGUCUGCGAGCAGAUCGAAAAGGAAAAGAGAAAAGAAAUCGUAAUAAGUUAUUCAAAAUAAGCUUUUAAUUAAUCAAGAAACUCGUUAAAUUUCAAAUUAUUGAGAUGAUCAAGAGGAAUUUUCAUUAAACUUUAUUGUUUAUUGGUAAGAAGAGAUAAAAAAAAAGGAGUAUAUAAAGAAUGUUUAUUUUGUUAAAAUUCAAAUAAUAUAUAUUUUAAGAAAAAAAUAUUGCGAAAGAAAUAUAAAAAUUGUUUUAUAUAACA